ensembl:lncRNA
GGGGUGCGGCCCCGGAGUACAAUCAGUGUGACUCUGGCCAGGUGAGGCUGCUUACACCCGCCCUCAGCUAUUGUUGGUACUAUGUGAUCGUCAACAGAGUAAUCUAUGCCCUUUGGUCAGUGUUACUAAAUAAGACCGUCAUUCUGAGAAAACAGGAGCCGAAUCCUUUUCUCUGCCAACCGCUUUGUGAAUGUUCCACCCGGCCCCAACGGUCGGAGGCCUUCAUGUCCCAUCAAGUAGCCGUAGUCCUGGAUGUGUAACUGUAACUUUGAAACGCCAACUCGGCCGUAUUAACUGGGUUCAUUAUUUAAUUUUGCAUGCUGGGAAGGAUGUAGCCCACCGCGGGAUGCUACGAUAUCUAACGAACGAUACGGACAGUCUGCUCAGCUUCCUUCAGUUAUCAGCUGAUUGGUCCCCAGUCCCACGGUGUGCUGGUGUGUGUCCGUGGUAACCCUCACCUCAGUGCCCUCUCCUGGAGCCGUGCCGCUGCCCUUCUCUGACUUUAGCGGCUCAGGACGUGGAUCGCCUUAGGGUGGUUGUACUCCGUGUACUGACUCUUCUAUCGAUGGUCUGGCCCGGAGCGGACUCACAGGGCUUCUGACCUCGCUGGUAAAGAAAAUGGAGAAAGAUUUAGGGAGAGAGCGCGCAGGGUGCUAGGGGAAGCAGCUCGCUGUGCAGCUGCUCUGGAUGCCUUUGGAUUACAUCAGAGUGGCUGAGAAAACAAGAGGCAGCGAGAGGGAGAGAGGAGCUCGGGUAAACCCGUCGCAGUGACACUUCCAGGGUGGCCUUCACCAAGUCAGUCACUACAGAAGAACACUGCUGACCAUGUUCUCAGGGGCUCUGAUGGUGUUGCUGGUGGUCCUCAUCAUGUGCAGGAGGGUCAUAUGGCACGGGAUCUGCCUGCUGAUUGGUCGGAUGUUGUUUAACGAGCCUGUGAGGGAUAAACAAAGAACUAAUAAAGUUUUGUGAGACCAACGCACUGAGUCAAUCAUUUUAUCCGAUUUUCAAUGACGAGUCUUCAGCUCAUGGAGCUCAGGGUGAGACCACAGAUGGAUCAGCCUUGUGUGAGGAGAAAUGUGUUAUUUGAUCUCAGGGGAGACCUGAUGACCACCACACAUUGAACACUGACCCCUGUCCAGUUGUCUAAAGAUGGAUCUGGUCACCAAUUAAAGUCACUAUCUUUGAUAUUGCAGAUAUAUUGUAACCUUCUUGUGAAUGAUUGUUGACAAUAAGGCACACCGUGUUUACACUAUUUUAUAUUACAUA